GAAGGUGGCUCAGUGGUAAAGUGCUUGCCUUGCAUGCAUGAGGCCCUGGGUUCAUUCCUCAGUACCAUCU
rfam:Dipodomys ordii contig_29235, whole genome shotgun sequence.